CCUCGACGCCUCACUACACUAGUUUGUCUUCCCCACUCGACACCCCUUUCUGUAUCUCAAAGGAGGUCGACACCUCCGCUCCACUCCGGCAGCCAUGGAGGAGUACCUGGCAAACAUGAGGACCCUCCGCUGCUACAUGAACGAUCUGGAAGAGGAGGCAGCUAAGCGGUCAGCGGAGGAGCAGAGGCAGCGCACGGCCAUAAAUGCUCACGACAGCGACAUCGCCUUAGUGAGGGCGCAGGCGAAACAGGUGAGCGACGAGGCCGAGCACCUUGCCAAGGCGAGGGCGCAUGUCUGUGUGGAGAUGGCCGAGAAGCAGGGUAGGAUCGCCUCACUGGAGGUCGUGUGUGCCACGCUGAAGCAGACGUUAGACCUCCUCCAGCUGGAAAUCACAAGUACAUUUGCAAAACUUGGCCACAAAAGAUUAUUUUACACAAAGACAAUGGAAACUUUGAGUGUCAAACUACAAGAGCAUCAGGGAUGGCUUGAUUCCGAUAAGAAUAAGUUGGUUGCAACAGAACCAUUUGUUGAAGCAUCUAUGAGCAAGCAAAACUUUUUUGGAGGGAAGAGGUAUGAAGUGCUCAACUUAGGAAGGAGCAUAGACAAGGAAUCUGACGCUGGAAAGAAGCAACUGGAUAUCAGAGCAAAAGGAUCACGGCUCCUCUUGGAAAUCAGCGAAUGUAAGCAGACCCUUGAGCAGGAGAGCAACAUAACUGCUAGCUUCCCUGCUGCAGUACAGGAGAUGGAUACAAAGUCCUUGGAGGAGGAAUACAAGGCUCUACAAGGUGAUAGAGCUGGAGAAGCUCAGUACUUCCAGUCUCUUGAAGAACGGAUCAUUAAAAUGAAGGUAGUUCCUGAUCCUAUUAAAUGCUGUUGCGGACUGGAGUACAAUGUCAAACUAGGCGGGGAGACCAUGGGUGUAAGAUAAACUCAUAUGUAGAUGACCACAGGUCCAGAGGGUGACAACUCCAUAUUAAGGUGGCUUCAAUCCAAGGAAGUAAGCAAGACGGCCAAGGUCUUUGAUGGCAACCGAAAUAACAGAUUGCAGUGGUCAUUUACAUGCUAUGAGAGUGUUUCAACCUGUAAAUAGACUUCCGAAGUUUGCAAACAUGAUGAGGGUAAUGAGUGUCCUUAGCCAGGUGGCUGCUGCAUAUACACAUCCUCAUGAAGCACACCAUGAAAGAAUGCAUUGCUGACAUCAAUUUGCCGCAGACACCGUCCCUGUGAAACAGCAAGCUAGAGCACAAGACGGUACGGUUUAACAACUGGGCUAAUAAAUGUGUCAAGGUAAUCAAUACCAUAUUCCUGAGUAAACCCACGAGCAACCAGUCGAGCCUUGUAUAUUUGUCAAGAGAGCCAUCAGGGUGUUGCUUUACUUUGAAAAUUCACUUGCAACUGAUAAUGUUGGUGCCGAAGGGACGUGGGACGAGUGACCACGUUGCAGUACGUUGAGGGAAAAUGAAAAAAAUUGAUCCAAGAACGAAACUAUUUCACAAAAUAAAUUCUUUGUAAAAUA